UACGUAGGGAGCAAGCGUUGUUCGGAUUUACUGGGCGUAAAGGGCGCGUAGGCGGCGCGGUAAGUCACUUGUGAAAUCUCUGAGCUUAACUCAGAACGGCCAAGUGAUACUGCAGUGCUAGAGUGCAGAAGGGGCAAUCGGAAUUCUUGGUGUAGCGGUGAAAUGCGUAGAUAUCAAGAGGAACACCUGAGGUGAAGACGGGUUGCUGGGCUGACACUGACGCUGAGGCGCGAAAGCCAGGGGAGCAAACAGG
rnacentral:rRNA from 1 species